UUGAAUACAUCACAUGGUGUUCAAUGUUGUUGAUUAGAUUUCCAUUGCGGACGUCACUAGCAGACACGACAGAUAAGUAGGACCACGUGACCCGAUACGGUAUUUUGCGUGUUUUAAGACUUGUGUGCUAAGUUGGAACGACGACAUUAAAACGAGUCCACGAUUGCUGCUUUACAUGGUGUGCAAUGAAUGGAAACGAUGAAGGAAAAUGGUUGCCGGAGCGCAGGAGUCAAAGCGUCCGCAAGCCCAGAGAUUACGAGCCCGAUUUAUAGUUAGACUGAUGAGCCUUUACUUUACAGGUAAUCGAUGAUGCUUUUCUUUCGACAAGUAAACGUCUAUCCUAAAUGCAGAACUUCGCGCACUAUCAGUAGCUGGAAAGGGAAAGCAACAGACCCUAAGACGGAACGCUCGGGGAGGUUGCAACAAAGGGGUGGGAGGUGAUGGGCGGCAUAUAGUGACCGUCUACGAAAUGCUGUCACUCGAAAAUGGUGUUGAAGAGGCAUUGCGUCCGCGUUCGGACGACAUAACCUAAGAUAUGUUCACCACCGUAUAUCGUAUGGAAACAACAAACCGCUCUACGUAACGCUACUAGCUCAGUAGGCCUAAUGGAACUCCAGGAAAUAACGACGAAUCAAACGACUGUGUUAAGCCGUACAACGCCAACGUCAACGUCGCAUGGACAGUUUAGGGCUGGUUUACGCGGAACGCUUGGCAAGGCCAGGACGUUUUGACAGAACUACCACGGUUGAAAUGGGACAACAGAUGGAUUCGUAGAUGCCGCGACCAGCCGGACUCAGCCCACUUAUGAUUAGGUAGCAAAUAUGGCCGCUUUAUUUUCAAUGGCUGUUUGUAAAAAAACUUAACUUGGUUCAUUUAAGCAUUUACUUACCUAUCGAGUUACAGUGGAGCCGGCUUUUGAGGGGUUUUUUUUUAUUCUAUAAUGUGGGAUUUUAGAAACAUCUAUAGAAAUGUGCCCCAAGCUAAAUUUUGCGACGAAUCUUCGGCCCAAGCGAGUGUUCUAAUUCUACAGAUCUCCUAGUCCUGUUCGCGUUAUUGUACGUUUUUAAUAAAAACACAAAUGGCGUGUGGGACAAGUGAAGAAAAAUCUGAUAUUACAGAAGGAAGCUGGUUACGACGCAGCCAGGUGAUAGGGCGAAAUCAAAGAAUAUUUCGAAAUAUAAUUGAGAGCAAAAAUGAGUUUUGUUUGUUAAAGCGGUAAAUAUUAUUGGGCUAUUGAAGACACUAGGUUUAUUUCGACACGUAGCAACCUCAGUAGAAGCUGCAACUUACAAUUAAGACUAUAACUUUGCGCAAAAAUGGUAUUCCAGAUUCCCAGUCCAAUCGCAACUAUCGAGAAGUUCGAUAGCUUGGCUAUUCUAUUGCAGGCACCUAUUUUAAAGCUAUGCAUGCGGGCUUUAUGGUUAUAGAAGAGUACCAAACCGUCAAAUAUCUACACGAUAUAUCAGUAAGAACUUGC